GAUGAACGCUGGCGGCGUGCCUAAUACAUGCAAGUCGAGCGAACAGAUGAGGAGCUUGCUCCUCUGACGUUAGCGGCGGACGGGUGAGUAACACGUGGAUAACCUACCUAUAAGACUGGGAUAACUUCUGGAAACCGGAGCUAAUACCGGAUAAUAUAUUGAACCGCAUGGUUCAAUAGUGAAAGACGGUUUUGCUGUCACUUAUAGAUGUAUCCGCGCCGCAUUAGCUAGUUGGUAAGGUAACGGCUUACCAAGGCAACGAUGCGUAGCCGACCUGAGAGGGUGAUCGGCCACACUGGAACUGAGACACGGUCCAGACUCCGACGGGAGGCAGCAGUAGGGAAUCUUCCGAAAUGGGCGAAAGCCUGACGGAGCAACGCCGCGUGAGUGAUGAAGGUCUUCGGAUCGUAAAACUCUGUUAUUAGGGAAGAACAAAUGUGUAAGUAACUAUGCAAGUCUUGACGGUACCUAAUCAGAAAGCCACGGCUAACUACGUG
rnacentral:rRNA from 1 species